rnacentral:tRNA from 1 species
UAUUUCUGCCAGGGCUCGAACCUGGGACCUUCCGCGUGUUAGGCGGAUGUGAUAACCACUACACCACAGAAAC